rnacentral:rRNA from 1 species
UGGGGAAUAUUGGACAAUGGGGGCAACCCUGAUCCAGCCAUGCCGCGUGCGUGAAGAAGGCCUUAGGGUUGUAAAGCGCUUUCAGCGGGGACGAUGAUGACGGUACCCGCAGAAGAAGCCCCGGCUAACUCCGUGCCAGCAGCCGCGGUAAUACGGAGUGGGCAAGCCAUGUUCGGAAUUACUGGGCGUAAAGGGCGCGUAGGCGGCACAUCAAGUCAGAGGUGAAAGCCCCGGGCUCAACCUGGGAAUUGCCUUUGAAUCUGAUGAGCUAGAGUCCGGAAGAGGAUAGCGGAAUUCCCAGUGUAGAGGUGAAAUUCGUAGAUAUUGGGAAGAACACCAGUGGCGAAGGCGGCUUCCUGGGCCAAUACUGACGCUGAGGUGCGAAAGCGUGGGGAGCAAACAGGAUUAGAUACCCCCGUAGUCC